UACGAAGGGGGCAAGCGUUGUUCGGAAUUACUGGGCGUAAAGGGCGCGUAGGCGGUCUAUCAAGUCAGGCGUGAAAUUCCCGGGCUCAACCUGGGGGCUGCGCUUGAUACUGAUGGACUUGAAUGCGGGAGAGGAUAGUGGAAUUCCCAGUGUAGAGGUGAAAUUCGUAGAUAUUGGGAAGAACACCAGUGGCGAAGGCGGCUAUCUGGCCCGUGAUUGACGCUGAGGCGCGAAAGCGUGGGGAGCAAACAGG
rnacentral:rRNA from 1 species